rnacentral:rRNA from 1 species
CCCUUAGACGCUCUAGGCGGCACGCGCGCUACAAUGGGUGGUAGAACGUGUAACUGCUCCCGAAAGGGAGGGUGAACCACGAAUACUUACCCGUGAAUGGGAUAGUUUGUUGCAAUUUUCGGACUUGAACUAGGAAUCCCUUGUAAGAAUGCUCAAGAAUAGCGUGCUGAAUACGUCCCUGCCGUUUGUACACACCGCCCGUCGUUUCUUCCGACUGAUACUCAUUGUGAGUUGCAAGGAUUCUUAUUGAAAAAUUGCUGCGAAUGCUUUGUAUUGGAGGAAGAAAAAGUCGUAACA